GAGACAGGGAUUGGGGGCUGCCGGAGUGGGAAGGUGUCUGCUGCCGGCUGGCUGCUAACGGGGGCGGUCUCAGCCGAGACCAAUCCCUACGGAGACAGAAAAGAGCGUUUGCUUCUCCCAGAAAGCGCGUACCCAGGAGCAGCGGUCGGGACUGGAGUCGGGUCCGCGCUGCAGAGGCUGGCGCCAGGCAGAAGAUGGCGGGUGAGGCCGUUGCUCCGAGGAGGUGGUGCCUGCCGCCGCUCCCCGCGGACUUUCCGGCCAAAGCCCUGGCCGGCCGUGCCUGCCGUUCCCAGCACCGCUCCUGGGCGUCCUGGGGCUGGCCUGCCCGAGACACGGUGUUUCUCCGGGCCGGAGCAGCGCGGGGCAGGCGGGAGUCUCCAUUGUGAGAGCCAUCGAACAGUCUGUGCAGAGCCUGGAAUGCCCUCCUGAAGCGGGAUGACUGUUACCAGCAAAGAGCACACUGCUUGCUGAGGGCAUAGACUUCCAUCUGGUCCCAUCACCGACUCUGGACUUCACCGCAGCCCCAGACCUCCAGCUAUCACUCAGCCUUGGAUAUUGCCAGCAUCCACCAACAGUCCUGGACCUGCCCAGCUUCUGUCAUGCAACCCUGGACCCUGGUGCUUCUUUCAGCUCCCUUUAGCUCCCAUCAGGACCCAGUCAGCUCCCAUCACCCAUCUCUGGACCCAGCAAGCACCUAGGCCCCAGCCCUUGGCUCCCAGGAACUCCAAAUGUCCCAGCAUCCUUAGCACCAGAAACGUCACACAUGCAGUGUUCUGAAUCGUGCCUCAGUCUUCAUGAGCGGAAUGAUGCCCUGCUGGGGUCAGGAUUUUCACCUGCUGGACCCCGGCUAGAUGUUUUUCUUCACCAGAUAGAAGGAGGGCAACUCGAGUCCUGGACAAUUUCAACUGAUUUAUUGCAGGGUCCAAAAGGGAUAGAAAAACACAGAGGGUAGGCUGAGGGACAGACGGUGAGUCGGAGGGGCAGCAGGGACGGGUAGCAACCAGCAGAAGGACACCAGGGCAAGUGCCCUGUCUUUAGGGGAAGUUACAGUUUUGUGCACAACUACAUGUUGAGGGGGAUGGGAGGGGAAAAGUUUUAAAGUUUUCACAGGAGUAACCAUUGAAAGAUACAAAGGGUACAGGAUGAGUGGGAUGUGAAAGGGAGUACAGCAUUCGAGUACUGGGAGAGGAAUGAAUUUUCCCUGACUUAGACAAUGAUACUUUCCCAGGGCAUUCCUGAGGUAGCUUUCACGCCCCUACUUCACAGUCCAUGGAGUGGCAUCUAAUGCACCCCACACUGCAUGCAUUGAGGGAGAAACCUCAGACACACCUGCUACUCAACCUGGGCACACCCCCAGUCCAGCACUCCUGCCACCCACUGAGUCCUGUACUCCCCCUGCGAGCUCCACAAUUCCCCAUGCCCUUCCCUGUCUGCUCCUUAUGAACUUUAAUCCUUCCCCAUGGCCCUUAAACAGAUUUGGGGUGACAGCUGCUGGAGGAGUGUGCUGGGGGGAUACCCCACACUUGGCCUUGUGGCUGAGCUCCCAUCAGUUGAUGAUGGAUCGUUACGGAGUCACACUCCUGAAAAUGAAGUUAAACAAGGAAAUGGCUUUGAUGGCGUCAGAGGCGUGGAGGAUG